GACGAACGCUGGCGGCGUGCUUAACACAUGCAAGUCGAACGGAAAGGCCCUGCUUGCAGGGUACUCGAGUGGCGAACGGGUGAGUAACACGUGGGUGAUCUGCCUCGUACUUCGGGAUAAGCCUGGGAAACUGGGUCUAAUACCGGAUAGGACCAUCAUUUAGGUAAGAAGGUGGAAAGUUUGUCGGUACGAGAUGAGCCCGCGGCCUAUCAGCUUGUGGGUGGGGUAAUGGCCUACCAAGGCGACGACGGGUAGCCGGCCUGAGAGGGUGUACGGCCACAUGGGGACUGAGACACGGCCCAGACUCCUACGGGAGGCAGCAGUGGGGAAUAUUGCACAAUGGGCGCAAGCCUGAUGCAGCGACGCCGCGUGAGGGAUGACGGCCUUCGGGUUGUAAACCUCUUUCGCUAGGGGAGAAGCCACUGAUGUGGUGACGGUACCUGGAUAAGAAGCACCGGCUAACUACGUGCCAGCCGCCGCUGUAA
rnacentral:rRNA from 1 species